GGGCGUAAAGGCGCCGCGCCAUGGUGGUUUUCUUAAGUUUGAUGUGAAAGCCCCACCGCCUCCAACCGUGGAGGGUCCAUUGGAAACUGGGAGACUUGAGUGCAGAAGAGGAAAAGUUGGACUCCCAUGUGUAGGCGGUGAAUUGCGUAGGAGAUAUGGAGAACCACCCAGGUGCCGAGGGCGACUUUUCUGUUCUGUAACUGACAUUGAGGCGCGAAAGCGUGGGGAGCAAACAGGAUAAGAUACCUUGGUAGUCCACCCGGUAAACGAUGAGUGCUAAGUGUAAGAGGUUUUCCGCCCUUUAGUGCGGAAGUAAACGCAUUAACCACUCCCCUUGGGGAGUACGGCCGCAAGGUUGAAACUCAAGGGAAUUGAGGGGGGCCCGCACAAGCGGUGGAGCAUGUGGUUUAAUUGGAAGCAACGGGAAGACCCUUACCAGGUCUUGACAUCUUUUGACAACCCAAGAGAUAGGGUUUUUCUUUCGGGAGCAGAGUGACAGGUGGUGCAUGGUGGUCGUCAGCUCGUGUCGUGAGAUGUUGGGUUAAGUCCCGCAACGAGCGCAACCCUUGAUUUUAGUUGCCAUCAUUAAGUUGGCCAUUUUAAGGUGACUCCCGGUGACAAACCGGAGGAAGGUGGGGAUGACGUCAAAUCAUCAUCCCCCUUAUGCCUUGGGCUACACACUUGUUCCAAUGGACGGUACAAAGAGCUGCAAGACCGGGAGGUGGAGUUAAUUUCAUAAAACCGUUUUCAGUUCGGAUUGUAGGCUGCAAUUCGCUUACAUGAAGCGGGAAUCGUUGGUAAUCGGGGAUCACCAUGCCGCGGUGAAUAGGUUCCCGGCCUUUGUACACACCCCCCGUCACACCACGAGAGUUUGUAACACCGGAAGUCGGUGGGGUAACCUUUGGAGCCAGC
rnacentral:rRNA from 1 species